rnacentral:rRNA from 1 species
UUACACAUGCAAGUCGAACGGCAGCACGGGUGCUUGCACCUGGUGGCGAGUGGCGAACGGGUGAGUAAUACAUCGGAACAUGUCCUGUAGUGGGGGAUAGCCCGGCGAAAGCCGGAUUAAUACCGCAUACGAUCUAUGGAUGAAAGCGGGGGACCUUCGGGCCUCGCGCUAUAGGGUUGGCCGAUGGCUGAUUAGCUAGUUGGUGGGGUAAAGGCCUACCAAGGCGACGAUCAGUAGCUGGUCUGAGAGGACGACCAGCCACACUGGGACUGAGACACGGCCCAGACUCCUACGGGAGGCAGCAGUGGGGAAUUUUGGACAAUGGGCGAAAGCCUGAUCCAGCAAUGCCGCGUGUGUGAAGAAGGCCUUCGGGUUGUAAAGCACUUUUGUCCGGAAAGAAAUCCUUGGUUCUAAUAUAGCCGGGGGAUGACGGUACCGGAAGAAUAAGCACCGGCUAACUACGUGCCAGCAGCCGCGGUAAUACGUAGGGUGCGAGCGUUAAUCGGAAUUACUGGGCGUAAAGCGUGCGCAGGCGGUUUGCUAAGACCGAUGUGAAAUCCCCGGGCUCAACCUGGGAACUGCAUUGGUGACUGGCAGGCUAGAGUAUGGCAGAGGGGGGUAGAAUUCCACGUGUAGCAGUGAAAUGCGUAGAGAUGUGGAGGAAUACCGAUGGCGAAGGCAGCCCCCUGGGCCAAUACUGACGCUCAUGCACGAAGCGUGGGGA